GAUGAACGCUAGCGGCAGGCCUAACACAUGCAAGUCGAACGGUAACAUAAGGUGCUUGCACUUUGAUGACGAGUGGCGCACGGGUGCGCAACGCGUAUAGAACCUACCCUGUACAGGGGGAUAGCCCAGAGAAAUUUGGAUUAAUACCCCGUGGUAAAUAUGAAUGGCAUCAUUUAUAUUUUAAAGUUUUCGGACGGUACGGGAUGGCUAUGCGUCCUAUUAGUUAGAUGGUGAGGUAACGGCUCACCAUGGCAGCGAUAGGUAGGGGCCCUGAGAGGGGGAUCCCCCACACUGGUACUGAGACACGGACCAGACUCCUACGGGAGGCAGCAGUGAGGAAUAUUGGACAAUGGGCGCAAGCCUGAUCCAGCCAUGCCGCGUGCAGGAAGACGGCCCUAUGGGUUGUAAACUGCUUUUAUACGGGAAGAAUAAGGGACACGUGUGUCCUGGUGACGGUACCGUAAGAAUAAGGACCGGCUAACUCCGUGCCAGCAGCCGCGGUAAUACGGAGGGUCC
rnacentral:rRNA from 1 species